rnacentral:rRNA from 1 species
UACGUAGGGGGCGAGCGUUGUCCGGAAUCAUUGGGCUUAAAGCGCGUGUAGGCGGCCCGGUAAGUCCGCUGUGAAAGUCCAGGGCUCAACCCUGGGAUGCCGGUGGAUACUGUCGGGCUCGAGUCCGGAAGAGGCGAGUGGAAUUCCUGGUGUAGCGGUGAAAUGCGCAGAUAUCAGGAGGAACACCAAUGGCGAAGGCAGCUCGCUGGGACGUGACUGACGCUGAGACGCGAAAGCGUGGGGAGCAAACAGG